UCGCGAAUGAUGACAAAGCUUCUCAUAUGUUCGCAGUUGAGAGUUCAGUUGAAUAAGAACGACUCGAUGAAUUUCUAGGUAGCCUUCACUUAGAUGUCUGACGCGGAAA
rnacentral:snoRNA from 1 species